rnacentral:siRNA from 1 species
UUGACGGCGGUGCUCACAUUCA